rnacentral:rRNA from 1 species
GCGUCGCUAUACAUGCAAGUCGAACGCUUCUUUUUCCACCGGAGCUUGCUCCACCGGAAAAAGAGGAGUGGCGAACGGGUGAGUAACACGUGGGUAACCUGCCCAUCAGAAGGGGAUAACACUUGGAAACAGGUGCUAAUACCGUAUAACAAUCGAAACCGCAUGGUUUUGAUUUGAAAGGCGCUUUCGGGUGUCGCUGAUGGAUGGACCCGCGGUGCAUUAGCUAGUUGGUGAGGUAACGGCUCACCAAGGCGACGAUGCAUAGCCGACCUGAGAGGGUGAUCGGCCACAUUGGGACUGAGACACGGCCCAAACUCCUACGGGAGGCAGCAGUAGGGAAUCUUCGGCAAUGGACGAAAGUCUGACCGAGCAACGCCGCGUGAGUGAAGAAGGUUUUCGGAUCGUAAAACUCUGUUGUUAGAGAAGAACAAGGAUGAGAGUAACUGUUCAUCCCUUGACGGUAUCUAACCAGAAAGCCACGGCUAACUACGUGCCAGCAGCCGCGGUAAUACGUAGGUGGCAAGCGUUGUCCGGAUUUAUUGGGCGUAAAGCGAGCGCAGGCGGUUUCUUAAGUCUGAUGUGAAAGCCCCCGGCUCAACCGGGGAGGGUCAUUGGAAACUGGGAGACUUGAGUGCAGAAGAGGAGAGUGGAAUUCCAUGUGUAGCGGUGAAAUGCGUAGAUAUAUGGAGGAACACCAGUGGCGAAGGCGGCUCUCUGGUCUGUAACUGACGCUGAGGCUCGAAAGCGUGGGGAGCAAACAGGAUUAGAUACCCUGGUAGUCCACGCCGUAAACGAUGAGUGCUAAGUGUUGGAGGGUUUCCGCCCUUCAGUGCUGCAGCUAACGCAUUAAGCACUCCGCCUGGGGAGUACGACCGCAAGGUUGAAACUCAAAGGAAUUGACGGGGGCCCGCACAAGCGGUGGAGCAUGUGGUUUAAUUCGAAGCAACGCGAAGAACCUUACCAGGUCUUGACAUCCUUUGACCACUCUAGAGAUAGAGCUUCCCCUUCGGGGGCAAAGGUGACAGGGUGGUGCAUGGGUUGUCGUCAGCUCGGUGUCGUGAGAUGUUGGGGUUAAGUCCCGCCAACGGAGGCGGCAACCCCCUUU